rnacentral:pre_miRNA from 1 species
AGCCUUCUGAAUCCGUCCUGAGGACUCGUCACACACCAGAUCACAAAGGCUGAUGAUACUUCCCAGAUAAGUGAAGCG